CGCUCAAAAAAAAGAAGAUUUACAGCCACCACACAACUUGUUCUCCACCCAAAUCAAACCCUCCCUAGACCUCCUCCUCAACCGCCGCCGCCGUCCCCUGACCACGCCCUCCACCACCACCCCUUUGGUUGACCUGUGCGACCCCAUCGGGAUAUAUGGCGGCGGGGCUUGGAUCUCGGCGUCGCCUCCCCCGAUACGCCUGCGACGUCGUCGUCGCCUCCCUCCCUUUGAGACCACCACCAGAACUGGUCGACGAUGGCAGUCGCGUCCAUCUCUUCUUUACGGUCCAUCACGCUAAUGAGCAUAGGUGGACUACCCACCACGGCUUCCUCCCCACCAACGGCGAGCGUGGUGUCCCAUCUCUACUAUGCUGGUACAAUACUUUCCUCAUAUCCAUCUUGGUGGAAACCCGAUGUAGGCGAGAUCUUCCUUACCAAGGUUGUUAAUCUUUUCUUCUCUGCUCGAUGAGAACUCAUGGUGCGCGUUGUCCAGUUGUCCGUAUGAAGGCAGAUUUCCCCUUCCACCGAGUUACUACUGAGCGUGUUCCUUGUUUUUUUUCCUUUUCCUACCAAAUUGAUGCAGGUGCUAUUAGUGAAAGGACUGGAGACUGGUUCUUGCGGUGGUUGGUUUGUUUGAGGAAUUCCUAGUGCUUGUGAUUUGUAAAGGGUUUCAGCCAGGGCAAGUAAUUAUCAGCUGAGCAAAGGCUACAACAUGCUAGGAGGAGAAGUUUGAAUGGAGGCAGAGAGUACACUUGGAAAUAGAAUGGAAAAAGGAAGACGAGACUGAAGCACAAGAGCGAGAGGCUAGCGGAAGUUAAAGCAAUAAACUAUAAGCAUUUUGAAUGAUUAGGGCCUCGCGUUGUUGGGAACAUUACAGCCAUGGGGAAAGCUAUUUUUUGUUGCUACUUUAGCAUAGAAGCAACUAUAUGCUCAUUUUGCCCAUGCGUCGCAUCCAAAACAUAUGCAAUUUUCCGUUUGUUGCACAACACCCUUAUAUAUGGGCGUUUCUAGAAACCUAUGUAUUUGGUUGUUAAUUUUAUUGAAUGAAGUUAAGUUUUACUA